CUCCCCGUCCUACGUCAUCAGCACCGCGCGCCGCCCAAGGUCCGAGCCGUUGGUGAGAGGAGCGGGCUGACGGUUACGCGGGUAGCUGUUGCCGCUGUGGGGGAAAAAAAAAAGUGAGGAUGCCACUCUGGGACGUCCCUGUGGGCCGCACCGAAGCCCGCGAGCCCGGGGAACGGCAGAUGUCACCUCACGCCCGACUCCCGGUGGGCUGAGGGACUCUGUGCCCUUGUCACACUUCCUUCUCGGAGGGCUUGGACGGUGCUCUUCGCCGCCACCUCUGUUCCCGCCCGCCUUGUCAUCGUGCCUGCUGGGCGGAUUUUCCGGGCUCUGGCACCCAGUCAGCCUGUGAGUGCGGAGUCGCCCCCAGCUUGCCACCAGGGAAGUCAGGUCAGGACCUCCUUCCUGCCCCAGGCCCAUCCUGUAGGCCCGCCUGCUCUUAGGGGUAAUAUAACAGGGUGGGCUCCUGGUCUCCAGGCUGCAAACUAAAUUGACACUUGGUGACAGCUUUGAUAAUAUUUGUGACCUAAAAGCUAAGGUAAAUUAGGCUUUUCGCGUUUCAGGGUGGGCGAUGGGAGAAACAUGCAUCCCGUCUAUACCCAUGCUUGCUGAGUGCCUCCAUACUGUGGCCUUGGAUCGCCACAGUGCAUUAUGAAGCACAGCUUAUCUUCACCUCUCAUGAACAUGCAGGAGAUGACUAGAUCCGGGCUCUGGGUAGAGUGGUAACUGAGCUGUCACCAUUUUUUCUAGAAAUGAGGGUGCAUACUAUUAUGGGUAGGUUAUAUAAAGGAGGUAUGUGGGAGACACAUUCACGAUCAGAAUAGAGAAAGCAGAAGUCCUGUGUGUGUGAGAGACAUUGACAGUAACAAUUUGCUGAACAGUCCUAUAUCAAGUGCCGCAGCAUUUUUAUAGAUUAUCUUAAUCCCUAGUUCUGUAAAUUCAAUUAGGCGUUACGGAUUCCCCAGAUCCUGAAAUCAAAUCAAAUCAUUUGUAACCAGUGGAAAUAUCCGUUAAAAAAAUAAAAUAAAUUAAAUAAAAUAGAAUCACUGGAAAGUGAGGAGAAGACUGGAGAGAUGACUAACAACUGAAGAAAAACUUUAUUUCUCAGAGAAGAGUAAAUGCUAGAUGAACAUUUAAACCGUUAAAAAUAGGAGAAAAUCCGCAGUGGUGAGAUGUCUCAGUGUUUAGAAGUGCUUGCUGCUUUCCCAAAGGACCCAUAUUAAGGUCCCUGAAGCCAGGUCCUGCUGCUCAAAUUGGCCUGUAACUACAGCUCUCAGGAUCUGAUGCCUUUGGCCUCUGAGAACAUCUGCACCAACUCACAUAAAGACACAGAUUAGUAUAAAUAGCAAUAUUUUUAAAUAGAAAAUCAAGGUGUAUAUAUUAAUAACCAUUUGUCUUAGUGAGGGUUUCUAUUCCUGGACAAAACAUCACGACCAAGAAGCAAGUUGGGGAGGAAAGGGUUUAGUCAGCUUACACUUCCACCCUGCUGUUCAUCACCAAUGAAGCCAGGACUGGAACUCAAGCAGGUCAGGAAGCAGGAGCUGAUGCAGAGGCCAUGGAGGGAUGUUCCUUACUGGCUUGCUCAGCCUGCUCUCUGAUAGAACCAAGAGUACCAGCCCAGAAAUGGCACCACCCACAAGGGGACCUACCCCUUGAUCACUAAUUGAGAAAAUGCCUUACAGCUGGAUCUCUGUGGAGGCACUUCCCCAACUGAAGCUCCUUUCUCUGUGAUAACUCCAGCUGUGUCAAGUUGACACAAAACUAGCCAGUACACCUUGUGAUUAGAAAGGCCUUAUCCAAGUAUGAAAUAAACUACAAUAACAAAAGUUGUAAUGCAUCCUCAAAAAUUGAAAAAAGAACCAUAGAAAAAUAUAUUCAUAACAUUUGCAAAGGAAAAAUAUUCCCAACAUACAGCUCUUAGAAAAAUCACUUAUAAAUUUCAACACCUAAAUAAUAAAAAUUGACAGAGAGGUGGCACGUGUUUGUAAUCCCAGCACUCUAGUCACUGGGAUAGGAGUUUGAGGUCAUCUUGGGCAUAUAAGUAAGACUUUGACAAAAAGAGAAAAUUGUCCAAAUAUGACAUUCUCCAAGAAAAAUACCCAAUUAACAAAUGAAAAGGUAUCCACCUUCCAAACAGAUCUUUUGCUGACCAGUAUUAACAGGACUGUGGAAAUACAAUUCCUUUGUGACCACUAGUGUGAGGGCGAUAAUUGUACACCUGACUUAAUAUAAGCAUUGUCCUCUGUCGCACUUAAAGGAAAAAAAAAAAGGAUUCCUAAGGAUAUUGUUGACUCUCAUGUUUCUAUUACAUACUCAUGAUGUAUAAUAGCACUAGAACAGAAGACAAUUAUGGUGUGUGUAUACAAUAGAAUACUCUUGACCCAUUAAAACAUUCGAUUGCAUAUGUCCAUGGAAUCUGGGUCAUAUUUGUCCAAAAGAAAAAGCAAAAUACAGAUCACAGUGUACAGAAUAUGAAUGCAUAUAUGAUGGCAAAUAUGAGUACAAAAUCUAAAAGAAUAUGAAGCUGCUUUUUAUCUUUUGGAUGUUUUAACCUUGUUUAAGUUUUUUUUAAUUUGUGAAUUUAUUAUUUUAUGAAAGUGAGAUCAUGUUAUGUUUUUUAAUUAUAAGAUGUGCCAGGGAAAGAAGCAGCUGACUGCCGGCCUACACCAGUGUGCAACCUUGGGAUCUUGGGAUUUUUUGUUGUUGUAUUGCCAUAAAUUCUACAAACUUGUAGACCUGACUACUGACUCACCACAUAUCUUGAUUCUGACUUUUUUUCUUGAAUGCCCUCCUGUAUUCUCUAUGUUCUUCAUGAUAUUUUUCACCGUAUCUUGUAAUUCCCCCUACCCCUGGAUUAUUUUUGCUCUUUCUGUACAUAUAUCUUUCUGGUAUGUAUUACACAUUUCCUUUUUCUUAUC
rnacentral:lncRNA from 1 species